rnacentral:rRNA from 1 species
UACAGAGGGUGCGAGCGUUGAUCGGAAUUACUGGGCGUAAAGCGCGCGUAGGCGGCUUUGCAAGUCGGGUGUGAAAUCCCCAGGCUUAACCUGGGAACUGCAUUCGAGACUGCAUUGCUAGAGUAUGGGAGAGGGAAGUGGAAUUUCCGGUGUAGCGGUGAAAUGCGCAGAUAUCGGGAGGAACACCAAUGGCGAAGGCAGCUCGCUGGGACGGUACUGACGCUGAGACGCGAAAGCGUGGGGAGCAAACAGG